rnacentral:tRNA from 1 species
GUGUUAGUAGUUUAAUUUCAAAACUUACGUUUUCUACACGUAAAAUGCAGAGAGAGUCUUUGCUUAGCAUU